CAACCUCAACUCAUAUGGGACUACCCCCUGAAUUUAAGCAUAUUAAUUAGGGAGGAAAAGAAACUAACAAGGAUUUUCUUAGUAGCGGCGAGCGAAAAGAAAACAGUUCAGCACUAAGUCACUUUGUCUAUAUGGCAAAUGUGAGAUGCAGUGUAUGGAGCGUCAAUAUUCUAGUAUGAGAAAUUAAUGAUUUAAGUCCUUCUUAAAUGAGGCCAUUUACCCAUAGAGGGUGCCAGGCCCGUAUAACGUUAAUGAUUACUAGAUGAUGUUUCCAAAGAGUCGUGUUGCUUGAUAGUGCAGCACUAAGUGGGUGGUAAACUCCAUCUAAAACUAAAUAUAACCAUGAGACCGAUAGUAAACAAGUACCGUGAGGGAAAGUUGAAAAGAACUCUGAAUAGAGAGUUAAACAGUACGUGAAACUGCUUAGAGGUUAAGCCCGAUGAACCUGAAUAUCCGUUAUGGAAAAUUCAUCAUUAAAAUUGUAAUAUUUAAAUAAUAUUAUUAAGAAUAAUGUGCAUUUUUUCCAUAUAAGGACAUUGUAAUCUAUUAGCAUAUCCCAAAUUUAUCAUAAAAUAUAACUUAUAGUUUAUUCCAAUUAAAUUGCUUGCAUUUUAACACAGAAUAAAUGUUAUUAAUUUGAUAAAGUGCUGAUAGAUUUAUAUUAUUACAGAGCGUUAAUUUUUCGGAAUUAUAUAAUGGCAUAAUUAUCAUUGAUUUUUGUGUUUAUUAUAUGCUCUUGUAUGAUUAACAAUGCGAAAGAUUCAGGAUACCUUCGGGACCCGUCUUGAAACACGGACCAAGGAGUCUAACAUAUGUGCAAGUUAUUGGGAUGUAAACCUAAUAGCGUAAUUAACUUGACUAAUAAUGGGAUUAGUUUUUUAGCUAUUUAUAGCUAAUUAACACAAUCCCGGGGCGUUCUAUAUAGUUAUGUAUAAUGUAUAUUUAUAUUAUUUAUGCCUCUAACUGGAACGUACCUUGAGCAUAUAUGCUGUGACCCGAAAGAUGGUGAACUAUACUUGAUCAGGUUGAAGUCAGGGGAAACCCUGAUGGAAGACCGAAACAGUUCUGACGUGCAAAUCGAUUGUCAGAAUUGAGUAUAGGGGCGAAAGACCAAUCGAACCAUCUAGUAGCUGGUUCCUUCCGAAGUUUCCCUCAGGAUAGCUGGUGCAUUUUAAUAUUAUAUAAAAUAAUCUUAUCUGGUAAAGCGAAUGAUUAGAGGCCUUAGGGUCGAAACGAUCUUAACCUAUUCUCAAACUUUAAAUGGGUAAGAACCUUAACUUUCUUGAUAUGAAGUUCAAGGUUAUGAUAUAAUGUGCCCAGUGGGCCACUUUUGGUAAGCAGAACUGGCGCUGUGGGAUGAACCAAACGUAAUGUUACGGUGCCCAAAUUAACAACUCAUGCAGAUACCAUGAAAGGCGUUGGUUGCUUAAAACAGCAGGACGGUGAUCAUGGAAGUCGAAAUCCGCUAAGGAGUGUGUAACAACUCACCUGCCGAAGCAACUAGCCCUUAAAAUGGAUGGCGCUUAAGUUGUAUACCUAUACAUUACCGCUAAAGUAGAUGAUUUAUAUUACUUGUGAUAUAAAUUUUGAAACUUUAGUGAGUAGGAAGGUACAAUGGUAUGCGUAGAAGUGUUUGGCGUAAGCCUGCAUGGAGCUGCCAUUGGUACAGAUCUUGGUGGUAGUAGCAAAUAAUCGAAUGAGACCUUGGAGGACUGAAGUGGAGAAGGGUUUCGUGUGAACAGUGGUUGAUCACGAGUUAGUCGGUCCUAAGUUCAAGGCGAAAGCCGAAAAUUUUCAAGUAAAACAAAAAUGCCUAACUAUAUAAACAAAGCGAAUAUAAUACACUUGAAUAAUUUUGAACGAAAGGGAAUACGGUUCCAAUUCCGUAACCUGUUGAGUAUCCGUUUGUUAUUAAAUAUGGGCCUCGUGCUCAUCCUGGCAACAGGAACGACCAUAAAGAAGCCGUCGAGAGAUAUCGGAAGAGUUUUCUUUUCUGUUUUAUAGCCGUACUACCAUGGAAGUCUUUCGCAGAGAGAUAUGGUAGAUGGGCUAGAAGAGCAUGACAUAUACUGUUGUGUCGAUAUUUUCUCCUCGGACCUUGAAAAUUUAUGGUGGGGACACGCAAACUUCUCAACAGGCCGUACCAAUAUCCGCAGCUGGUCUCCAAGGUGAAGAGUCUCUAGUCGAUAGAAUAAUGUAGGUAAGGGAAGUCGGCAAAUUAGAUCCGUAACUUCGGGAUAAGGAUUGGCUCUGAAGAUUGAGAUAGUCGGGCUUGAUUGGGAAACAAUAACAUGGUUUAUGUGCUCGUUCUGGGUAAAUAGAGUUUCUAGCAUUUAUGUUAGUUACUUGUUCCCCGGAUAGUUUAGUUACGUAGCCAAUUGUGGAACUUUCUUGCUAAAAUUUUUAAGAAUACUAUUUGGGUUAAACCAAUUAGUUCUUAUCAAUUAUAACGAUUAUCAAUUAACAAUCAAUUCAGAACUGGCACGGACUUGGGGAAUCC